rnacentral:rRNA from 1 species
ACCUACGGGAGGCAGCAGUGGGGAAUAUUGCACAAUGGGGGGAACCCUGAUGCAGCGACGCCGCGUGAGUGAAGAAGUAUUUCGGUACGUAAAGCUCUAUCAGCAGGGAAGAAAAAAGGACGGUACCUGAGUAAGAAGCCCCGGCUAACUACGUGCCAGCAGCCGCGGUAAUACGUAGGGGGCAAGCGUUGUCCGGAUUUACUGGGUGUAAAGGGCGCGUAGGCGGGAUAGCAAGUCAGUCGUGAAAUGCCGAGGCUUAACCUCGGAGCUGCGAUUGAAACUGUUAUUCUUGAGUAU